rnacentral:rRNA from 1 species
UACGUAGGGGGCUAGCGUUGUCCGGAAUCAUUGGGCGUAAAGCGCGUGUAGGCGGUCCGGUAAGUCCGCUGUGAAAGUCGAGGGCUCAACCCUCGAAUGCCGGUGGAUACUGUCGGGCUUGAGUACGGGAGAGGCGAGUGGAAUUCCUGGUGUGGCGGUGAAAUGCGCAGAUAUCAGGAGGAACACCGAUUGCGAAGGCAGCUCGCUGGAACGUUACUGACGCUGAGACGCGAAAGCGUGGGGAGCAAACAGG